UACGCAGGGUGCGAGCGUUAAUCGGAAUUACUGGGCGUAAAGCGCACGUAGGCGGCUUUGUAAGUUAGAGGUGAAAGCCCGGGGCUCAACUCCGGAAUUGCCUUUAAGACUGCAUCGCUAGAAUUGUGGAGAGGUAAGUGGAAUUCCGAGUGUAGAGGUGAAAUUCGUAGAUAUUCGGAAGAACACCAGUGGCGAAGGCGACUUACUGGACACAUAUUGACGCUGAGGUGCGAAAGCGUGGGGAGCAAACAGG
rnacentral:rRNA from 1 species